ensembl:lncRNA
CUAUAGGGGCAGUUAUGGGGUGGGGGGGGAUGGGGUGAUGGGGGUAUGGGGGGUCAGUUAUGGGGUGAUGGGUAUUUUGGGGGCACUUAUGGGGUGAUGUAGCGUGGGGUUGUGGGGUAUAGGGGCAGUUAUGGGGUGAUGUGGGGUGGGGCAGGGUUAUGGGGUGGGGACGUAUGGGGGUGUAUGGGGUCAUGUGGGGACAUAUGGGGUCACAUACCGGCCUAUGAGGAUAUAUGGGAUCAUAUGGGGUCAUAUGGGGGUUUAUAGGGUCAUAUGGGGACGUAUAGGGAUAUAUGGGGAUGUAUGGGGUCAUAUAGGGAUAUAUGGGGUCAUAUAGGGACGUAUGGGGACAUACUGGGAUAUAUGGGGUCAUAUAGGAACAUAUGGGGACAUACAGGGAUAUAUGGGGCCACAUACCGGCAUAUGAGGAUAUAUGGGAUCAUAUGGGGUCAUAUGGGGUCAUAUAGGGAUAUAUGGGGUCAUAUAGGGACAUAUGGGGACAUACAGGGAUAUAUGGGGCCACAUACCGGCGUAUGAGGAUAUAUGGGAUCAUAUGGGGUCAUAUGGGGGUUUAUAGGGUCAUAUGGGGACGUAUAGGGAUAUAUGGGGAUAUAUGGGGUCAUAUAGGGACAUAUGGGGACAUACAGGGAUAUAUGGGGCCACAUACCGGCGUAUGAGGAUAUAUGGGAUCAUAUGGGGUCAUACGGGGGUUUAUAGGGUCAUAUGGGGACGUAUAGGGAUAUAUGGAG